GACGAACGCUGGCGGCGUGCUUAACACAUGCAAGUCGAGCGGUAAGGCCCUUUCGGGGUACGACGAGCGGCGAGCGGGUGAGUAACAACGUGGGUGGACCUGCCCUCCAGCUCUGGGAGUAAAGCCUGGGAAACGUAGGGUCGUAAUACUGGAUAUGACUCCACGGUGCAUGUCGUGGGGUGGAAAGCCUUGUGCGGCUGAGGAUGGGCCCGCCGGCCUAUCAGCUUGUUGGUGGGGUGAUGGCCUACCAAGGCGACGACGGGUAGCCGGCCUGAGAGGGCGACCGGCCACACUGGGACUGAGACACGGCCCAGACUCCUACGGGAGGGCAG
rnacentral:rRNA from 1 species